rnacentral:rRNA from 1 species
UACGUAGGGGGCAAGCGUUGGUCCGGAAUCAUUGGGCGUAAAGAGCUCGUAGGCGGCUUGUCGCGUCGACUGUGAAAACCCGCGGCUCAACCGUGUGGUCUGCAGUCGAUACGGGCAGACUAGAGUUCGGUAGGGGAGACUGGAAUUCCUGGUGUAGCGGUGAAAUGCGCAGAUAUCAGGAAGAACACCCGUGGCGAAGGCGGCUCUCUGGGACGGUACUGACGCUGAGACGCGAAAGCGUGGGGAGCGAACAGG